UUUCCGUAGGUGAACCUGCGGAAGGAUCAUUAAUGAGUUGUCAUGGGGUUCGAUGCUGGCAGCCAACUUUUGGAUGCAUGUGCUUGCCCUAACAAUCAUCUUCCAAACACCUGUGCACAUUUUUGAGGGAGUCUUGAGUUUGUUGCCGCUCUUGGGUGAUUUUCUCACAUUCCCUUAAAUCAUUAUACGCUAUUAACAAUGUUGAACGUGCUCUGUGCCGCAAGGCUAUUAAUAUAAUACAACUUUUAACAACGGAUCUCUUGGCUCUC
rnacentral:misc_RNA from 1 species